rnacentral:rRNA from 1 species
GAUGAACGCUGGCGGCGUGCCUAAUACAUGCAAGUCGAGCGAACGGACGAGAAGCUUGCUUCUCUGAUGUUAGCGGCGGACGGGUGAGUAACACGUGGAUCCCCUACCUAUAAGUCUGGGAUCACUUCGGGAAACCGUAGCUAAUACCGGAUAAUAUUUUGAACCGCAUGGUUGAAAAGUGAAAGUCGGUCUUGCUGUCACUUAUAGCUGGAUCCGCGCUGCAUUAGCUAGUUGGUAAGGUAACGGCUUACCAAGGCAACGAUGCCUAGCCGACCUGAGAGGGUGGUCGGCCACACUAGAACUGAGACAGGGACCAUACUCCUACGGGAGGCAGCAGUAGGCAAUCUUCCGCAAUGGGCGAAAGCCUGACGGAGCAACGCCGCGUGAGUGAUGAAGGUCUUCGGAUCGUAAAACUCUGUUAUUAGGGAAGAACAGAUGUGUAAGUAACUGUGCACAUCGUGACGGUACCGAAUCAGAAAGCCACGGCUAACUACGUG